GGUCAGGAUGAACGCUAGCGGCAGGCUUAACACAUGCAAGUCGAGGGGCAGCAGGCUGUAGCAAUACAGUGCUGGCGACCGGCGCAAGGGUGCGUAACGCGUGAGCAAUCUGCCCGUAUCAGGGGGAUAAGCGAUGGAAACGUCGUCUAAUACCGCAUAACACCAAAGAUGGCAUCAUCGUUGGUUGAAAGCUUCGGUGGAUACGGAUGAGCUCGCGAGACAUUAGUUAGUUGGCGGGUAACGGCCCACCAAGACCGCGAUGUCUAGGGGAACUGAGAGGUUGGUCCCCCACACUGGAACUGAGACACGGUCCAGACUCCUACGGGAGGCAGCAGUGAGGAAUAUUGGACAAUGGCCGGAAGGCUGAUCCAGCCAUGCCGCGUGAAAGGAUUAAGGUCCUAUGGAUUGUAAACUUCUUUUGAGUGGGAGCAAUAAGGGCGUCGAGACGUCCGAUGAGAGUACCAUUUGAAUAAGCAUCGGCUAACUCCGUGCCAGCAGCCGC
rnacentral:rRNA from 1 species